UGACCACUAGCUCAGUUGGCAGAGCAAAGGACUGUUAAUCCUUCGGCCCCAGGUUCGAGUCCUGGGUGGUCAGC
rnacentral:tRNA from 1 species